rnacentral:rRNA from 1 species
CGGCCGCGGUAUCCUAACCGUGCAAAGGUAGCGUAAUCACUUGUCUCUUAAAUAGAGACUUGUAUGAACGGCUAAAUGAAGAUAGCACUGUCUCCUUUAAUUAACCAGUGAAACUGAUCUCCAAGUACAAAAGCUUGGAUAAAAACACAAGACGAGAAGACCCUGUGGAGCUUAAAACAACCCUAUUAUAGCUAUGUUUUAAGUUGGGGCGACUUCGGAGAAAACCAAAACCUCCGAGCACAGGGCCAGCCCCCGGCCAACAAGCCAACGACACCAAACUGACCCAGUCUAACUGAAUAACGGACCAAGUUACCCCAGGGAUAACAGCGCCAUCUUCUUCAAGAGUUCCCAUCGACAAGAAGGUUUACGACCUCGAUGUUGGAUCAGGACACCCAAAUGGUGCAGCAGCUAUUAAAGGUUCG